ensembl:lncRNA
CUCCGAUGCUUGUUGUCAUCUGUUUACUCCUAUGUAAUCACUUAAGUUGUUAUUAACUGCUGCAUGCUAAGCUGCAAGAGUGCACUGAGGACUGAGACAAAAUAUGGUCUACAAACCAGCAUUAUAUUAGUUUUUAUCAGAUAGUCCUCCAGUGUGUUUAAUUUUUGCUUUAAUUCUAUUGUGCAGUUAUUUGUUACCCUGAAAUGCUUUAUGCUUAACAACAGCUCACUAUUUUGACUUAUUUUUGAACUCUUGUGAUCAGUAUGACUAGAUUGUGUGAGUUUCCAUACUAAAAGAGCUGUAGUGAUAAAAUAACUGGCAUCAGAGACACUGGUUUUUGGCAUGGUAUACUGCAGAAGUUUUUUUUUUUUGCAUAAUUUACCUUUUAAUUAAACUGCAUUCUCUGUAUUGUAACAAAACUAACAUUGUUUAUAUGUCAGAAAAUUAGCAAACAUGAAUAAAUGGCAAAAACAAUAUAAUUAUAACAUAUAUUUUUAUUUUACUUAUUUUAGGUCUGUGAAGCCAAACUUGAUGCUGGGGAUUUAUUUUUGUCAGUGGAGUCAAAUGGUCUAGAUGAUCACAUCUGUCUUUGUCAUUUAAAUGAGGUGGACUUGCAAACUUUGCGCUCUUUUGGAUUUCAAGACAGAGCUUAUUGUUCUCUGAACUUCCUUGUUUGCUGAACGGCAGGUUGAAGCAGAAUUUGCCCGUCUUACAUCUGUUGACCUGAAAGGGUUCCUUUUUGCUGUGCUUGACCAUUAUGGAGAGGUUCGUGGAGCUGUACAAAAUCAAGAGCGGCAUAGGAGGGCUAACUAGGCUCAUAAGAUGCUUCGGAGAUGAUAGCCCUACACAAAGGAAGAGGACAGAGGGCCUCAUUUUCUAAAGGAAGAGCCCUCACACACUUUCAAGACUGUGAAGCCGACAGGUAUUGAAGACACGUUUUCUAAGAGGAUGAAAGUUGGCAUUGUGAUGGUGAAAGAAGAAGACAUCAUCGAUGUGUUGGUCGUCCCUGAGGCGGCAGUAAUCCUGUCUAAUCUGAGGGAUGUCUCAAGUGCCAUUUCCAUGCUGAUGGGCCUUCUUUU